ACCACCUAGAUCCAGAUUAGAAAGAAGCUCCAGCAUCUCCUCAUGGCAAUCCUCGGCAAGAGUACUAGUGUUGUGUGCCUCAUAGCCCUAGUGCUCAUGGCCACCGUUCUCUCCUCACGUGCCUUCUACCAUGGAUGCGACAUCGGUCCAUUUCCCGGGGAAAAAUGUCCCGAGCUAUGUGAAAAAGCAUGCGGUAAGCCCGGCGCUUGCUCAUCAGACGGUCCCGAGUCUUACUGUUGCUGUGAACCAGUACGCCAAGAUGGAUCCAUGAGGCCUCAGGAGGUUACUGAAAUGAUACAAACAUAGUGUCAUGGAUCACCAGAACCAUGUCGAAUAAAUGUGCUAGGUCUUGUUGAACUUGUAUUGAAUUUGAUAGUAUCGUGUGUUCCUCGGUUGGAUCGAAUGAACUUGUAUAUAUUCCCCAUUUAAUAAACUUUGUUUUUGUUGGCCCCA